ACCGCAUGGACACCACAUAGCAGGUUGACAGGCUGUGUGAAGGCAAAGCUUCUGGAAGGCUGGCUGGACUAGCAUGGGAGAGUUGAGCACAGUUCAGUGCGUACGUGUUGCGCUCUUUCACCUAGUUGUAAAAGGAAGCAGAAACGAAACUGGCUACUCUUUAGUUGACUGAUGUAGCUGGCAAGGCUUCACUGUCAUGGUGCACAGUAGAGGUCUGCGCAGGACCGAUUUCUUCAUCCCGCUCCCGCCUGCACCCUCUGGCUUUCUGUCCAACUCCCACCUGCUACCCUUCUCUCUGUUUUUUGUUUGCUUGGAAAUGUUGAUACUGGAGACUGUUAUCAUAAGAAAUUGUGAAACCUAGCAUUUUAAAGUGGCUAAUAAAUGCAUUGCCAUUACAUGGAAGGUUGGAUAAUCUCCCACAAUGUAUGGAAGAAAUGUCAAGUUAUGUACAGUAUUACUAGAUUUGUUUUAAGAUUAAGGGUAUACUGUGCAACUUCUAUAAGCUGUGGAUGCCUUAUACGGAAUACUGUACGACAAAAGGAGUCUGUAUUGAAAACAUGCCCAUGUCAGGGGAGAUUCCUAGCUGCUGGGCUGCUCAUUCCUGGCCCUGCUGUACUCUUAUCACUCUGGCCUUGGCCUAACACACCUGAAACCAAUAAUGAAUGUUGCACUAAGAUCCUAAAGCUGAGUGGGGUGUGUUGGGUUGGGGUGAUACAGGGCCGUGGACCCCUAGGGGCAGGACGGGGUGACCCAGCUAUAUUGUGUGCAAGGAAAAAUAUCUCUAAUGUACUAUUAGGCCUAUGAUAUGAAUUAUAUGGAGGGUGUACUGUUUCUGUGUGUUAAUGUGUAGGUGUAUGUGUUUUCAUUCAACCUUUCCCUUGAGACAUACAACAACAAAAAGAUGGGAAGGAAGUUGUGUUGGGGAGAGAGUUGAGUUAUUGACUAGACUAGUGGAGAUCGGGCAUGUAGGCAGCUCUGGUCUGCUGGUCGGUCUGGCUGAAAUUUGAUUUACAGGAUGUCUUAAAGACAAUCAAAAGUUGUCUUUGUACUUUAUUUGUAAGAGUUGUUCAUUUGUAAGACUAUUGGUUAAAGAUGCAACACAAUAAAAUUAUUGAAUUAUCAUGGAUUUAGUAAAUUUUUGCUCACUUUUUGUUCUAAAUAGAGACGGCCAAAGGGCCAUGGUUCAUAUUAGAUAGUUUACAAAUGCAGGAAAUGUGCUUUAGAUGCCCCGAAAUAUGUGAGAACCCCCAGAACCCCUGGCAAGUUAUGUCCCCCUCUGCAAAUAGCACUGCUAGGUGAUUUAAAAAGUCAGAGUCUGAGCAAAUGUUUUUGUUUUUAAUUUGCAAUAUGUAGAAGAUAUGAGCAUAGAAAUGUUCAGAACUUUAGUGAAACAUCUCAG
rnacentral:lncRNA from 1 species